rnacentral:tRNA from 1 species
AGCUCAGUGGUUAAGAGCACUGGCUGCUUUUCCAGAGGACCUGGGUUCAACUCCCAG